GCGCCCGCGCCCUGAUUCCCGCAGUCUGCACCCCCACCCCCAACACCUUCCCCCAAAGUCCAAAACCAAACGCCUUUGGCCUCCUUCCUUUUCCCGGGGCCGUUGGCCGAAGGUGGCCCUCUUGACUCAUUCCCUUUCCGUUUCUUCCCACAGAUAGGUUCAUUAAUGCUUUUUCCAGGCGGAGUAAACUUAUGGGGGGGGGGGUUCAGUUUACUCGGGCUGGGGAUAACCUGGAGCCUACUGCCCGGGAAGAUCCGGACUCAGACCGAAGGAAACCAACCAUUAAAAAAAUGCAUCCAAUGGGAAUUUUUCCACUCGGGCCCUCGGCUGCCGAGUCGCGGCAGACUCCGGGAGCUAUUUCACCGGCCGACGCGGACUCGGGGCAGUUUCGGAAGGACCCCACCAUCGGGGGCGAGGACUAGGCUCCCAGUGCAUUGUUAGCAGAAGAGCGCCCUCCGGGCGGCGCGCCUCGGCCCUUUGCUCCUGGAGAGCUCCCGGCGCCCGCCCAGGGCCGGGACCGGCAGCACCAUAGGCCACCUCUCCGCGCCUUCUAGGGUCCAAUCCCUCGCACUUCACCUGGACCAGAUGGCCCAAGUCCCAGCGUUCGGCCAGAGCCGCCUAUGCAAUGCUACUCCAAGCCCCAAGAAACCUACGCUACCGCGGGACGUUCCCUCCACACUGGUCAACAGGUCUGCAGAGCGCAGCACUCAAGAUCGCGGCACCGUCAUCCCCACCCAGCCGUGAGGCCAGCCGGCUUUUGGCCCGCCUUGUCGGCCCCCGCCACCCGGAGACCUCCCCCGUCUUUCUGCAGGGUCGCCGCCGAACCCUCCAGUUGGGGCAGCCUCAGGAGUCCGGGGCGCAGCGAGGAGACAUCCCCCCCACCCCACUCCUCCCCCAGGCACUCUCGGCCUGACUCCCUUCUCCCCAACCUCCCAAACAGGUUACCUUGUCCACGCUCUCCAGACCACGCUUUGGACUUUUUCACUUUUAUUUAAGAGUCCACCCGGGGAAGGAGGAAAAAAAAAAUCCAGAGGAGAUCCGAGUCAAUUGGAAAGAAAAAAAAAAUUCAAAAGGGUGUCCACAGCGGCGAAAAAGCCCAGACUCUGCCGACCUUCAAACGACAACAGGGCUUUCAGGAGGGUGCGGGGAGACCGCUUCCCAACCGAACCUGGCCAGAAACCCGGCACCCCCAGCCACAUCGGCCCUCUUUCGGGCAGAAGGGAUUCCAACUCCACCACCCGGAGGCCCCCUUCCGGGUCCUGGGCAAACACUGAGGUUGCUAAUGGCCACCCCACCGGAGCCGCUGCUCCCCCUUCCUGACGCACUCCUCCAAGUGCUUGAGAAGGCUCCUCUAUGGCAAAAAUGUUGUGUAGGUCUCUCUUCCCAACUUCUAUUGUGCCUGGCAAAGAUCCCGUUACCCUCACUGCACUGAUCAGUACAGUCACCCCAGUAAGCCUAGCACCCCCAAUUCCUUGCAGCAGCAGCUGUCUCUCCCAUUGGGAGUUGCUCAAUACGCAACUAGAUUAAACUGAGGACUUGCCCUCCUGUUUUCACCGUG